CCUACGGGAGGCUGCAGUGGGGAAUAUUGCACAAUGGGUGCAAGCCUGAUGCAGCCAUGCCGCGUGUGUGAAGAAGGCCUUCGGGUUGUAAAGCACUUUCAGCGGGGAGGAAGGCGGUGAGGUUAAUAACCUCAUCGAUUGACGUUACCCGCAGAAGAAGCACCGGCUAACUCCGUGCCAGCAGCCGCGGUAAUACGGAGGGUGCAAGCGUUAAUCGGAAUUACUGGGCGUAAAGCGCACGCAGGCGGUCUGUCAAGCCGGAUGUGAAAUCCCCGGGCUCAACCUGGGAACUGCAUUCGAAACUGGCAGGCUAGAGUCUUGUAGAGGGGGGUAGAAUUCCAGGUGUAGCGGUGAAAUGCGUAGAGAUCUGGAGGAAUACCGGUGGCGAAGGCGGCCCCCUGGACAAAGACUGACGCUCAGGUGCGAAAGCGUGGGGAGCAAACAGGAUUAGAUACCCGGGUAGUC
rnacentral:rRNA from 1 species